AACCCAAGGUAUUGCAAAUGGGGUGUGUCCAGUCUUUUUUAGUAGCCACUUGGUCAGUGUUUGUGACUAAGUGGCUACUAAAAAAGACUGGACACACCCCAUUUGCAACAACUUAGAUUG